rnacentral:rRNA from 1 species
GCGGCGAACGGGUGAGUAACACGUGAGCAAUCUGCCCUUCACAUCGGGAUAACCCCCGGAAACGGGAGCUAAUACCGGAUACGACCACUUCAGGCAUCUGAUGGUGGUGGAAAGUUCUGGCGGUGAAGGAUGAGCUCGCGGCCUAUCAGCUUGUUGGUGAGGUAAUGGCCCACCAAGGCUUCGACGGGUAGCCGGCCUGAGAGGGUGACCGGCCACACUGGGACUGAGACACGGCCCAGACUCCUACGGGAGGCAGCAGUGGGGAAUAUUGGACAAUGGGCGAAAGCCUGAUCCAGCAACGCCGCGUGAGGGAUGACGGCCUUCGGGUUGUAAACCUCUUUCAGCGCAGACGAAGCGAAAGUGACGGUAUGCGCAGAAGAAGCACCGGCCAACUACGUGCCAGCAGCCGCGGUAAUACGUAGGGUGCGAGCGUUGUCCGGAAUUAUUGGGCGUAAAGGGCUCGUAGGCGGUCUGUUGCGUCAGGAGUGAAAACUCGGGGCUUAACCCCGAGCCUGCUUCUGAUACGGGCAGACUAGAGGUAUGCAGGGGAGAACGGAAUUCCUGGUGUAGCGGUGAAAUGCGCAGAUAUCAGGAGGAACACCGGUGGCGAAGGCGGUUCUCUGGGCAUUACCUGACGCUGAGGAGCGAAAGUGUGGGGAGCGAACAGGAUUAGAUACCCUGGUAGUCCACACCGUAAACGUUGGGCGCUAGGUGUGGGACUCAUUCCACGAGUUCCGUGCCGCAGCUAACGCAUUAAGCGCCCCGCCUGGGGAGUACGGC